CUGGACUGUCAAUACUGUUCCUUUGAUUUAUAAAUCUGCCCUUAUAACAUUACACUGUCCUGAUUGUAGCUUUUUUUUUUUUUUUUUUUUUUUUUUUUUUUUUUUUGAGACGGAGUCUUGCUCUGUCACCCACGCUGGAAUGCAGUGGCACAAUCUCGGCUCAUUGCAACCUCUGCCUCCCGGGUUCAAGCGAUUCUCCUGCCUCAGCCUCCUGAGUAGCUGGGAUUACAGGCACCCACCACCAUGCCUGGCUAAUUUUUGUGUUGUUUUUUUUUUUUUAGUAGAGAUGGGGUUUUGCCAUGUUGGCCAGGCUGGUCUCGAACUCCUGACCUCAUGAUAUGCCCGCCUCAGCCUCCCAAAGUGCUAGAAUUAGAGGCGUGAGCCACUGCGCCUGGC
rnacentral:lncRNA from 1 species